rnacentral:lncRNA from 1 species
CAGAUAAGCCCUGAGUAAACAACAAAGGGGAAUGUCCCAUACCCUCUCAUUAAUAAAAAGGCGUAAGACAAGCACCAAUUGGGAGGCUGGUCACGUGUUGCAUGCCUGCCAAGAGACCAUUCAGAUGAGGGAAGGGAGGAGAUAGGGAUCCAGACAAGAAAGGACUGUGCCAAAAAGAAGGGUUUCCAGGAAGCAGAAGUGGUCUUGGAGAGAAAACAGGGGUCUCAAAAAGGAAACAGUGAAGAUCCUGGCUGGAAGGAAGAUCCUGGAAGAGAAGGAGAUGGGUGGAGACCAGUGCCAGCAGACCUUGCCCCAGGACUGCUACCUGGAGCAGCUGCCCACUGCCAGCUAACACAGCUCCCUGCUGGAUUUCCCCAGGCCAGCAGCAACCUCCCUGCUGGGAAGGAUGAUUACUUCGUAUCAAGAAUAGAGAGAGAGCCUUCUCCCGGAGCCGAAGUAGUGAGGACUGAUGAGCUGCUCGCAUUUCCUCCUCCUUCAUGUACUGUCUUACCAUCUCCAUAGUAAAUUUAGAGAAACUAUCUUGCCCUCCUGAGAAAGGCAUGCUUAGCUCCUGAAUGGCAAGACAAAUUUGGCAUGGUUUGUUAAUAAAGAAAUUUCAAAGCCUUUUUCAAGUACAAACUGUGUGUAUGCACAUGGUUCAGCAUAAGAAGGGAAUUUGUUUUUUCUCUCUGAGCUACUAUAAGAC